UAUGUGUGUGUGUGUGUGUGUGUGUGUGUGUGUGCGCACGCGCACACACACACACACGCAUAAU
rnacentral:miRNA from 1 species